UUUGUGACGUGUUCGUUUGGGUUGGGCGCCAGCUAAGAGUGUUUGGAGCGCGGAUUAACUGCAAUCUCCUAACAGGUGUGUAUUUCUCAUUACUCUAGCAGUAGGACGGCUAUUUCAGGCCGUGAUGGGCUGAAAUAGGCCAUGUGGUCCUAAUGGGUCCGUAGGCCCAAGUCGAUAAGUUGUAGAAUUACCGAAAUACCCCUAUAAGGUAGAAUUACCA
rnacentral:lncRNA from 1 species